GACGAACGCUGGCGGCGUGCCUAAUACAUGCAAGUAGAACGCUGAAGAGAGGAGCUUACUCUUCUUGGAUGAGUUGCGAACGGGUGAGUAACGCGUAGGUAACCUGCCUUGUAGCGGGGGAUAACUAUUGGAAACGAUAGCUAAUACCGCAUAACAAUGGAUGACACAUGUCAUUUAUUUGAAAGGGGCAAUUGCUCCACUACAAGAUGGACCUGCGUUGUAUUAGCUAAUAGGUGAGGUAAUGGCUCACCUAGGCGACGAUACAUAGCCGACCUGAGAGGGUGAUCGGCCACACUGGGACUGAGACACGGCCCAGACUCCUACGGGAGGCAGCAGUAGGGAAUCUUCGGCAAUGGGGGCAACCCUGACCGAGCAACGCCGCGUGAGUGAAGAAGGUUUUCGGAUCGUAAAGCUCUGUUGUAAGUCAAGAACGGGUGUGAGAGUGGAAAGUUCACACUGUGACGGUAGCUUACCAGAAAGAGACGGCUAACUACGUG
rnacentral:rRNA from 1 species